AGCGAACGCUGGCGGCGUGCCUAACACAUGCAAGUCGAGCGCGGGCAUUUCGGGGGUAACCCCGGGAUGUGCUGAGCGGCGGACGAGUGAGUAAUACGUGGACAACCUGCCUUAAAGCUUGGGAUAACUCCGGGAAACUGGAGCUAAUACCGGAUAAGACCACGGCGUCUAUGGAUGCUGAGGUAAAAGGCGGCCAGGAAACUGGCUGUUGCUUAAAGAUGGGUCCACGUCCCANCGAGGUAGUUGGUGAGGUAAAGGCUCACCAAGCCAAAGACGGGUAGCUGGCCUUAGCGGGUGGUCAGCCAC
rnacentral:rRNA from 1 species